rnacentral:rRNA from 1 species
AGUGAACGCUGGCGGUAGGCCUAACACAUGCAAGUCGAACGGCAGCACAGUAAGAGCUUGCUCUUACGGGUGGCGAGUGGCGGACGGGUGAGGAAUACAUCGGAAUCUACUUUUUCGUGGGGGAUAACGUAGGGAAACUUACGCUAAUACCGCAUACGACCUACGGGUGAAAGCAGGGGAUCUUCGGACCUUGCGCGAUUGAAUGAGCCGAUGUCGGAUUAGCUAGUUGGCGGGGUAAAGGCCCACCAAGGCGACGAUCCGUAGCUGGUCUGAGAGGAUGAUCAGCUACACUGGAACUGAGCCACGGUCCAGACUCCUACGGGAGGCAGCAGUGGGGAAUAUUGGACAAUGGGCGCAAGCCUGAUCCAGCCAUACCGCGUGGGUGAAGAAGGCCUUCGGGUUGUAAAGCCCUUUUGUUGGGAAAGAAAAGCAGCAGGUUAAUACCCCGCUGUUCUGACGGUACCCAAAGAAUAAGCACCGGCUAACUUCGUG